rnacentral:rRNA from 1 species
AGAGAGAGACAUGCGCGCAUAUCAAUAAGCGGAGGAAAAGAAACUGACAAGGAUUCCCUUAGUAACGGCGAGUGAAGCGGGAAGAGCUCAAAUUUGAAAUCUUCAAGGUUUUACCUUGACGAAUUGUAGUUUAAAGAAGUGUUUUCUGCUGGAGUUUUGGUAAAAGUUCUUUGGAAUAGGACAUCAUAGAGGGUGAGAAUCCCGUAUUUGACCAUUAUUUCAGCUUUGUGAUACACUUUCAAAGAGUCGGAUUGUCUGGGAAUGCAGUCCAAAAUGGGUGGUAAAUUUCAUCUAAAGCUAAAUAUUGGCGAGAGACCGAUAGCGAACAAGUAGCCGUGAGGGAAAGAUGAAAAGAACUUUGAAAAGAGAGUUAAACAGUACGUGAAAUUGUCAAAAGGGAAGCGUUUGACACCAGUGUUGUUUUCUCGAAGAUCAAUUAAAAAUGGCUCGAUUUUGUAUUGCUUGAGACCUUAAAAGCUCACUGUACAUUUUUCGUGUCUUUUUUAAUGCACUUUUCGUUUAACAAGUCAACAUCAGUUUCUUUUGUUGUAAAAGGGUCAUUGGAAGGUGGCUUUCUUUCCGGAGAAAGUGUUUAUAGCCUUUGGCCUCUGCAAUCGAAGAGACUGAGGUCUGCAGCGUAGACUCUUCGGGGUUAGAUACAUUUGUGCUAAGUUAUAGCUUUUUAUAGACAACUUGUUGACUAUAAUUAGUCUUGUAGCUUACUCGCUUAUGCUAUUUUACCUACGCUUAGGAUGUUGAAGAUGUAGCACAUCAU